AAUUGGGGCGGGGUUAAGCACAGGUGUUGCUGUUUACUUCACUAGAGUGAUAAACACUCUGUUUGUUUUUGAAAAUUUGGGACAAUCUGAAGCACCAACCCUGUGUUUUUGGCUUCACUGAUGUACAGAAUGGGAUUUACAAGCAAAUUCUUCAGACCUCAUCUGCUAUACAGAUUCCUCCUUUCUCCCGAACAAGCUGGAUUCUUUGAUGAAUAGAAAGAACAGCAUUUAUUGGAAGUAGAAAUCCUUUGUACCAUUAUACUACAAAACGGCACCCCCAGACCCCAGUUUGUAAGCCCCUGCAGUAGGCAAGAGUAUGUUACAUGUAAUAAAAUAUAUUCACAAUGCAAUACGCUCAACCUUCCAC